rnacentral:lncRNA from 1 species
GAACUAAUGUAUCAUCAGGUUUUAUUAUAGAAAAUUCAACCCUUUGUUUAAACAUUUUUAGUCCCAUAACAAUGAUAUUUUCCCUGCUGGAAUAUGAUGGUCUGGAGCUUUAAAUUAGGUGUAGCAUGCAUAAUAUUUUUUUAUAUGAAUCAUUGUGAGAACAGAUUUUUGUUAAAAAAAGUGUUUAAGAUUAAAAUUUCUCUAAUUUUUAGCUAUUUUUGCAUUUCCCGACCGGUGUGAGAAAAAUAUUUCUCCUCACUAGUGAAAAAUCUGUUCUCGGCAAAUGAUUUGUUAAAAUUUAAUUAUAACGUGAAAUUUUCUUGUUUUCUUCUGAAUUUUCUUAUUGUGACAUCAUGAAAAAAGGCGACCAUGUCUGAUGAUGUCACAUCAAAAGUACACAACUUUCCUCAAAUCUUUGAAAAGGAAGGAUAAAAAUCAUAAGAGAAACAGAUUCCACCACUGUUACUCGUGUAUUACGAUAUUUCUCCACUCUCAACAAUUAAAUUUUAAUUAUUUAAAAAGCUCGGCAAGCCUCAAGCUUCAAAUACUAAAAUUUUACUGUCUUGAGUGGAAAAAUAUUGUAAUACACUUUUUGCAGUUGUGGAAUCUAUAUAUUUAUGUCCAACUUAAUUAAUUAACAUUUCAAUAAAUAGCGUCAAAUAUUGCAAUUUCAGUAACUUACUUUGGAUUUCGUUAGUAAAUAUAUUUUCAUAUCAAAGUUUGAAAGCAACUGUUGUGUGUCUAAGCAUUUAGCAUCUUUACAAAUGGGUAAUUAAUUGGAAGAGAUUAAACAUCGUGUUAUAGCUUUCACAUAUACAUGUAUACCUACCGUAUAGCGUAUUAUUUUUGCGGGUGUAAAAUUUCACAAUUUUCAUUGAAUAAGGUAUACAAAUUAUUUUGACGGUUAUUAUUUUGGCGGAUUAAAAACUUUUAUCCAUACCUUUGAAUGUGCAUUUUAAAAUUGGCAGAACUUAUUUUGGCGAUUUUGUUCUAUCCACGAAAAUAAAGAAAAUUGACACCCCUCGGGAAUAACCCGCUAUACAGUAUUAUACUAUGAAAAUAUUGCUUUACUUGGGUUAGAAUGAUUUUCCAAAAGGACAAUGCUGUGAUGUGCCAUGGUUCUUUUGAUGUCUAAAAAAGACUGUUAAAGGAAUAUUAGACUUUUGUUAUAAAAGUAUUGGUAGCUUAAAACCAAAUAUUAAGUUUUUCUCUAGCUCUAACCUUUAACCUUUAACCUUUAAACUAAACAUAAACAAGGACUUGUUUGUUGUAAUUUUAAAGCUGCCAUAUAUGAUACAAAAAAUAAAGUCUUAAAGAACUUUUUAUGAUGUUCAUGUUUUUGAGUGUGAGAUUUUGUCCCCCCCCUAUAUAUCUAAACUAUGCAUCACUUAUUUUGAUGUUAUACCCCAACUUUAGGAGAAGGGACUAUGUUCUAAUCAAGUGUCCACUUGUCUGUUUGUUUAAAUAAAUAUUUUUAUCACAAUUCUUCACUAACAACUGAAAAGAGAUUGAUUGCUUUCAUAAUGAAGCUUGACAGUGAUAAAUUGUAAUAUUUCAGUGCUUUUCAGAUCCUCUGAACACCUACUUCCUAUUUACUGGACAUGAAUGAUUUACAGAUAUAUGCAAUAGAAGUUGGGGUAUACAAUUCACACACACCUUGUUUUUAUGUUUUUUUCUACACUGUUUUCUUUGUUAAUAAUGCAAUCCUGUUUUUACACAUUUUUUUUUACAAUAUUUAUUAAUAUUUUACUACUGCCAAA